UGCCCCCCGCCCGCCCCGGCGGACCUGGCGGCUGGGCGGACCCGCGACCUUCCCCCGGGGCGGGCGGUGCUUUCCGCCGAGAAGCGAUCGGAAGACUCGGGCAGGUGGGAGCGCCAGGUCGGGCACCAGGUCGGGGCGGCUGGCGGAUGCAGAGCGGCGUCCCAGGAGGCGGGUCCGGGGUGGACGCAGCGCAGGGACGCGGCCCGGGCCUGCUGACCUCAGAGUCCCGCGGGGGAUACGCUCCAGCCCGGCCCCCCAGGCUCUCCUCCUCCGUGGGUGCAAGUCUGGCCUCGGGGCCGGGCGCACGGAGUUUUUCUGGAGUGAGGGUCUGCGAGGACCCGUCCUCCGACUGUUAGUGAUUAGGACGGAGGGGCGCUUGCUAGCGUCGUUUUUGUUUUGUUUCGUUCACUCUGGCAAGAAGACGAUUAUGCUGUUUUAUAUUUGAGAAGUGGACAGCCAACGCCACUUAAAACUUUGGAGUGAAAAUUUGACUUCGGCAGUUGCAAUGACGACUAACGAAAUCUUUCCAUCUUCCUUCUUUCAUGGAGUGAACCUCGAAAUGCUUCUAAACCACUCGGCCUGUGGGACUCGGUACUUAUUUGAGACAAUGGUGAUGCUCUAGUGUGAACACCAGGGGGCGCUGUUUGCCGAGGCCGCGCCGAGUCCUCGGGGUCCCUGCAGAAGCUGGGGGCGGCGCUCUGAGACUCAGACGGGCGCGGGGUGGGCUGAGGGCGUCUCACCCGGGGAGGACCGGCCUUGCGCAACUCCUUCCUUGCUCCGUGUUUCCUGCCCCGCAAAUCGGAGCUCUGCCCGCCGUUACUGCACACCCCCUCCCAAGCUUUUUACAAUACCUCUCCCACCCCCUUUCCUUCCAAGUCCUUACCCUGCUUUAUUUUCUCACCACUCUGUAAUCGAGUUACGCUGCUCAUUCUCCGUUCAGUCUCCCUCUCUGGAAAGUAAGCUGCAUGAGGAAGGGACUGUUUCUGUUUUGCUCCUCACUCGGCCUGUUGAAGAGUCUCCAGCACAUAAUAGUUGCUCAAGAAAGCUUUGAGUCAGGACACAGUGGAUGAAUUCACCAUCCUGGUGAGGCCAGAAGGGAUUUCGGGCAAACGUCACCACCAGCCCUGCUCCACACCUCACUCCUCUGAACCCACAUCUACUUAAGAACAAAAGUGAUUCAUAUAGAAGCUGUUGUCCUCGAAAUGGUCCACCAGCAGCUGAAGAUGCCCCCCUCAGGGUGGAUAGAGCAGGUGGAGCUGUUAUGUCCUAACACUUCUGGCCAUUUCAAUAUCCAUCUGAUCCCCUAGAUUUCCUGCUAAAGGCCUGGUGUCAGCUGAGUGAAAGGAAAGAGCAUGAGAAGAACUAGAUUUGAAAUCCAGAUUGGCCACUUGUUAAGAGUCAAGUUGAUGAUCUGAGGGCCAGAUCCCCAGCUGUGCUCCCAGGGCUGCACCUGCUGAAAGGCUCACACCCCAACAUUCCAGGCUUCGGAAUCAGUGCCUCUGGACCCUUGGCAGGGCUGCUGGGGGAACCAAACUUACAGAGAGACUGUUAGGCCGAAACAUCUACACACAGAUUGGGGGGAGAGGGGUACCUAAUUGAGAACAUUGAAAAAUUCCUUCAAAUGCUAGAAAAGAGUAAAACAAAAUAUCCAAAGCUGUCAUGAUCGAAUAACUGCUAUGCCGGCUGGUAGUUUAUAUCAACAAUCUGCCGAGACCACUUCUUAGAUUUCAGAAAAUAUUUUCAUCUAAUUCAACACUGUUGCCUUCUAACAGCUCAUUUUCCACUUAUCGUAAAGAUUAUCCUAAAACUGCAAAGCAAAUUGAAUGGAAUUUUAUAGAAAUGGGAGUAAAACCAAUACAAACUCCCCAAAUGGUAGAUUUCUGACAAAAAGAGAAUCUUCUAAAAUAUAAAGCAUGUGGUGCCAGUCAGUACAGAGGGGAGAUCACAGGUUCUGUCUUCUGCACCAUCAGCCCGUCUUCCGCCCUCUGCAGAGACACGGCUAUCCCUGCCCUCAAUCACACACACCUCAGGGAAAUGUCAGGAUGAUUCCUGCCCACAAAUCACACGACGGGUCCAGGAUCAGCGCUACAGCUGAUCUUCCUUCAUGGUUUCUUCCAAGUCAUUCCAUUCUUUCUACCUCGAGUCUGCUUGAUCCAAAUCUGGGUGAUCCCAUAGGUAGACCCCCAAACUGUGGCUCAUCUGUUCUGUCCCGACACUGGUUGCAAGAUCUCUCAGUCUGGGAUGCUGGUCUUUAUGUUUCUUUUCCCAAACAGACCGCAAUUUCCUUGGGGACAAG